rnacentral:rRNA from 1 species
UACGGGGGGAGCAAGCGUUGUUCGGAUUUACUGGGCGUAAAGCGUGCGCAGGCGGUUGUGCAAGACCGAUGUGAAAUCCCCCGGGCUUAACCUGGGAAUGGCAUUGGUGACUGCACGGCUAGAGUGUGUCAGAGGGGGGUAGAAUUCCACGUGUAGCAGUGAAAUGCGUAGAGAUGUGGAGGAAUACCGAUGGCGAAGGCAGCCCCCCUGGGAUAACACUGACGCUCAUGCACGAAAGCGUGGGGAGCAAACAGG